GUGCCAGCCGCCGCGGUAAUACCGGCAGCCCGAGUGAUGGCCGAUCUUAUUGGGCCUAAAGCGUCCGUAGCUGGCCGUGCAAGUCCAUCGGAAAAUCCACCCGCCCAACGGGUGGGCGUCCGGUGGAAACUGCGUGGCUUGGGACCGGAAGGCGCGACGGGUACGUCCGGGGUAGGAGUGAAAUCCUGUAAUCCCGUCCGGACCACCGAUGGCGAAAGCACUUCGAGAAAACGGAUCCGACAGUGAGGGACGAAAGCUAAGAUCGCGAACCGGAUUAGAUACCCUAGUAAUCC
rnacentral:rRNA from 1 species